CAAAAAAAAAAAAAAAUCCCAAAAACCUUAAUUUUUUCAAAUCAGAAAAAAAAAACAACCUUAUUAUUUGCAAAUUCAUUUGAAAAAACAUAAGGAAAAAGAAAAUCCAAUGUCGUCUGAAUCCAUACUCUCGGUCUUAACGGAGGAUUUACUUGUUCGAAUCAAUGACAAACUCAAUGACGAGUUAGAUCGCAAAACGUGGCGACUCGUUUGCAAAGAAUUCCUUCGAGUCGAAUCACUAGCUCGUAAAACUCUCCGAGUGCUCCGCGUCGAGUACUUAUCAGUUCUUCUUCGUAAGUACAGUAACAUUGAUACCCUGGACCUCUCCGUGUGUCCAUGUAUUGACGACGGGACGGUGUCUCUGCUGCUGAGUGGUGAGUCAGAGGGAUGGGCGCUGUGGAAGCUGAAAUCUUUGAACCUGGGUAGAGCCACCGGCUUGAAAUUCUCAGCGAUGGAGAUGCUGAUACGGGCUUGCCCGUUUCUGGAACGGCUCGAUGUGUCGUACUGUUGCGGGUUCGGAGACAGGGAGGCGGCGGCAAUAUCGUGUGCUGGAGGUUUGAGGGAGCUGAAGAUGGAUAAGUGCUUGGGAGUCAGUGAUGUUGGGUUGGCGAAGAUAGCUGUGCGGUGUGGAAGAUUGGAGAGGCUAAGCUUGAAGUGGUGCAUGGAGAUAUCUGAUCUGGGUAUUGAUCUUUUGUGUAAGAAGUGCCCCGAAUUAAAGCAUCUUGAUGUGUCUUAUCUCAAGUGAAAUUUGAUACGUGUGUGGGAUCACUUCAGGUGACGAGUGAAUCCCUUCGUUCUAUUGCCUCUUUGCCAAAGCUGGAGGUUUUGGCUAUGGUGGCAUGCCCUUUGGUGGAUGAUUUUGGAUUGCAGUUUCUGGAAAAUGCUUGUCCUUUGCUACAGGAAAUUGAUGUGUCAAGGUGUGAUUGUUUGAGUUCGUCCAGCUUAAUUUCCGUAAUUAGAGGACAUAGCGGACUUAGGCAGAUAAGCGCUGCUUACUGCUUUUCUGAGCUUUCCCCUGCUGUCCUCCACUACUUGAAGGAUUUGAAGAAUAUGAGCACGAUUAUAAUUAAUGGGGCUUGUGUUUCAGACACUGUUUUCAUGACUAUGAGUAGAUAUUGCAGGUCUUUGGCUGAAAUUGGGUUGAGCAAAUGCAUAGGGGUGACCAACAUGGGCAUUAUUCAGCUUGUCUCUGGCUGUAUCAAUUUGAAGAUCCUCAGUUUAAUAUGCUGUCAUUCCAUAACUGAUGCUGCAAUUUCUGCUAUAGCAGACUCUUGUAGGAACCUUGUGUGCCUGAAGUUAGAGUCUUGUAAUAUGAUCACUGAGAAGGGUGUUGAACAGCUUGGAUCACAUUGCUCGCUGCUUGAGGAGCUUGAUCUCACUGAUUGUUCUGGCAUAAAUGACAGAGGGCUUGAAUGCCUCUCCAGAUGUUCAAGACUUGUAUGCUUGAAAUUAGGACUUUGCGCAAACAUAUCAGACAAAGGACUGUUUUAUAUUGCUUCUGAUUGUUCAAAGCUUCAUGAACUGGAUCUAUACCGUACUGGUAUUGGAGAUGAUGGUUUAGCUGCUUUAUCGAGUGGUUGCAAGAAGUUGAAAAAGCUCAACUUGUCAUACUGCAAUAAUAUUACUGAUAGAGGGAUAAAAUUACUUGGCUAUCUGGAGGAGCUAUCUGAUGUGGAAUUGAGAGGACUUGGCAAAAUCACAAGUGUAGGUUUGACAGCCUUUGCAGCCAAGUGUAAGACACUAGCAGAUUUGGACUUGAAGCAUUGUUGGAAUAUUGAUGAUAAGGGAUUCUGGGCACUUGCCUAUUACUCACAGAACCUGCGUCAGAUAAACUUGAGCUACUGCAAUAUAUCGGACAUGGCAUUAUGCAUGAUGAUGGGAAAUCUGACACGAUUGCAAGAUGCAAAACUGGUGCUUCUUAAAAAUGUCACUGUGGCAGGGUUUGAGCUUGCACUUAGGGCUUGCUGUGUCCGUAUCAAAAAGGUUAAGUUAAAUGCCGCUCUCAGGUUCAUGUUAACUGAGGAAAUACUUGGGAUUUUACAUGCCAGGGGUUGCAUAAUCAGAUGGGAUUAGAACCACAUGUACUGGCCUACUGGGAGAUAAUAAACACCCACGGCCUGGGACUUACUUUAAAAAUCCAAUGAAGCUUUCAAUGAGUUCUUCCCUAAUUUAUGAUUUAUCUUCUACUCCCUUGAUCUUUCUCUUCUCACUAACUGCCAGCAGAAUUCUAUGCACCUUUUCUUCUGCUUGUCCUUCUCUUGAACACUGCCAAAGGACUUAUAUUUACUUAUAUUUUAAUAUAGUAUGAUAAAUCCAUCAAGAUUGGUUCAUUGCCUUAAGAAUAAGGUUGGUUCAUAAUCUAUGAAUUGGCCAUGCAAAUUAAAUUAUCAUUUUGUGCAAGACUUUGUAACAAGUUGAAGUUGAUGGAAG
rnacentral:misc_RNA from 1 species